AUUAGGAUAAAGGGAGGGGGCAUUUGGAGAUCGAGAUUUGAAGUCCGAGAACUAGAUUCAAGCUCCUUCCAAAGGUAUAAGACUUAAUUUCAUAGGAUUUGAGAGGACUUUGCAAUCGUUGUUCAAAGUCAGUGUUUUUAUUGGUGAAUUGGGUUUUUUUGCAAUAAAGUUAGGGCUAAUACUCUUGACUAUUUUGUGAAAUUGAAAAAGUAUCUGUAGUUGAAAUUUUAGAAAUAUCUAGAUGGUUGAAUAUGCCAAGCACAUGUAAAGUUUUGUGUUAAUCUAACAGUACAGAUAGACGAUAUUUGAUCAUUAGUGUAAAGAGGUAUCAGAAGUUGGCAGAUUAGGAUUGUUUAGGAUUUCUACAAUAUCUGGAGAUUUACUAGUUGGAAUAAGGUGAAUUUUUAAUGUGAUAAGUCAAGGACUUAAAGGCGGAGCUGUAUACAAAGUUUGAAUGAGAAUUGAUGGUUGAAAAAAGAAAAAUUGCAAUUCAAAGUUUGUCAUCAACUUUCUAGGCAACGGUCAAGGGACAUUAGUGUGGAUUUAUGGCAUUUUCUUA
rnacentral:lncRNA from 1 species